UCUCUCUGAAUCUGCGAACGGCUCCGCAAACCAGUUGUAAACUAUAGCGAGUAAGCUCCGGCCAACGCAAGGAGGUCGGGGUAAUAGGGAUAACCCUGGUAAUUCUGAGGCUAAUACAAGAACGUAACCCCUGGUCGACUGGCAACGGAAGGCUGGGGGACGUGCGACAUUUGCAAACAGGCACUGGGAGUAGGCGCACGUCCAGACCACCAUACCAAACAGUAGGUGGAUCCCUCCGGGGUGAAGCUGUCUGGGUGGCUCUCGCGUUGUGCUUCUGACCUAUCAACUAGACGGCAGCAUAAUUGACAUGCCGUGGUUACAACGGGUACAGAGGAUAAGGGUUCGAUCCUGGAGAGUGGGCCUGAGAGAUU
rnacentral:rRNA from 1 species